CUCCAUAUGCAAUUUGGAGAUAUCGUAACCAAUGAAGUUCUACUGAGGUGCGAUUAUUGCUAGUUGAAACUUUGGCAUUCAUUGAAUAUUUGUAUUGAAAGUCAUCAACUGACCGAACUUUUGUUAAUACCCUCGUAU